rnacentral:rRNA from 1 species
UGGGGAAUUUUGGGCAAUGGGCGAAAGCCUGACCCAGCAACGCCGCGUGAAGGAUGAAGUAUUUCGGUAUGUAAACUUCGUAAGAAUAGGAAGAAUAAAUGACGGUACUAUUUGUAAGGUCCGGCUAACUACGUGCCAGCAGCCGCGGUAAUACGUAGGGACCAAGCGUUGUUCGGAUUUACUGGGCGUAAAGGGCGCGUAGGCGGUUUGUCAAGUCAGUUGUGAAAUCUCCGAGCUUAACUCGGAACGGUCAACUGAUACUGUCAAACUAGAGUACAGAAGGGGCAAUCGGAAUUCUUGGUGUAGCGGUGAAAUGCGUAGAUAUCAAGAGGAACACCUGAGGUGAAGACGGGUUGCUGGGCUGACACUGACGCUGAGGCGCGAAAGCCAGGGGAGCAAACGGGAUUAGAUACCCACGUAGUCCCUGAGCGGGCUGGCAAGGCGCAU